CCCAGAUGUAUCGUUUGUGUCGUAGCAGACUACUUCCUGGUUCAUGUUCCCAGAUGUAUCGUUUGUCUAGUACAGACUACUUCCUGGUUCAUGUUCCCAGAUGUAUCGUUUGUCUAGUGCAUGGUUCAAGUUCCCAAAAGUAUUGUUUGUGUCGUAGCAGACUACUUCCUGGUUCAUGUUCCCAAAAGUAUUGUUUGUGUCGUAGCAGACUACUUCCUGGUUCAUGUUCCCAAAAGUAUUGUUUGUGUCGUAGCAGACUACUUCCUGGUUCAUGUUCCCAGAUGUAUCGUUUGUCUAGUGCAUGGUUCAAGUUCCCAAAAGUAUUGUUUGUGUCGUAGCAGACUACUUCCUGGUUCAUGUUCCCAAAAGUAUUGUUUGUGUCGUAGCAGACUACUUCCUGGUUCAUGUUCCCAAAAGUAUUGUUUGUGUCGUAGCAGACUACUUCCUGGUUCAUGUUCCCAGGUGUAUCGUUUGUCUAGUGCAGACUACUUCCCGGUUUAAGUUCCCAAAUGUAACGUUUGUGUAGUAGCAGACUACUUCCUGGUUCACUGACGACAUCAAAGAAUGUAGUAAUGAUUAGAUGGUGUACCUAAUGAAGUGUCCAGCCCCCUGUCUGCCGUUAUGUAUCAUAUCAAAGCUGUGUAUGAAAGCCAUAGUCAGUGUUUAGCAUUAGCAUCCGCUUAUUAGCAUAUCCUUCAGCGCCGCUUCACGCCUCACACUUUACGUCUGCUUCUGUUUCUACGAUUGUAACAAAGCCCCAGCAGAGAGCAGACUACUACUACUGUGCACAGCGCCACCACCUGUCCUCACGUCAGCAAUAAAGUGACCUGGAGACUGUGA